rnacentral:rRNA from 1 species
UUUCCUACGGGAGGCAGCAGUGGGGGAUAUUGGACAAUGGGGGAAACCCUGAUCCAGCGAUGCCGCGUGAGGGAAGAAGGUUUUCGGAUUGUAAACCUCUGUGGAGGGGGACGAUAAUGACGGUACCCCUUUAGGAAGCCACGGCUAACUACGUGCCAGCAGCCGCGGUAAUACGUAGGGGGCAAGCGUUAUCCGGAUUUACUGGGUGUAAAGGGUGCGUAGGUGGCAGGGCAAGUCAGAUGUGAAAGCCCGGGGCCAACCCCGG